UGUAUAGUUUCCUUCCAAGCAUGCUGCCAGAUAAACCCUAUGACUCGGCACAUAAACCUCGGAAUACGCAGAAGUUUUGUUCGCCUGUUCUGCGCAUCACCCUUUGAAGAGUGUGUUUUUCCACUGCUGUCCUGCGUGGACCCAUCAGGAGCAGAAGAGGUGAAAGGCAUCCGCCCAUCCGACAGUGUAUCAGAAGAAUGCAGAGAAAUGAAACCUAUUUCGUGUGUUCAAAUGAGUGAACAAUCACAAACUGACGAGCCCCUCUGUGCUUACACACCGGAGGCUCAGCAGACUAUUCUUUUGGAAAUACCAUCGUUGGUUGUUUUCUCAGUUGUUCCAGGAUACUUUGAAGUAAAGGCAACCUGUCAAACCAAAGAGAGCCUCACCAUCCGCACUUGCACAAGGAAGUAAGGAAAGUAAGGCCUUGCUGAGAUUGAUGAGCAUGGAAAUAAAAAAGGCGAGUCAGAUAUGAGAAUUAAUUUA
ensembl:lncRNA